GGGUUGUGAGGUUAAGCGACUAAGCGUACACGGUGGAUGCCCUGGCAGUCAGAGGCGAUGAAGGACGUGCUAAUCUGCGAUAAGCGUCGGUAAGGUGAUAUGAACCGUUAUAACCGGCGAUUUCCGAAUGGGGAAACCCAGUGUGAUUCGUCACACUAUCAUUAACUGAAUCCAUAGGUUAAUGAGGCGAACCGGGGGAACUGAAACAUCUAAGUACCCCGAGGAAAAGAAAUCAACCGAGAUUCCCCCAGUAGCGGCGAGCGAACGGGGAGCAGCCCAGAGCCUGAAUCAGUGUGUGUGUUAGUGGAAGCGUCUGGAAAGGCGCGCGAUACAGGGUGACAGCCCCGUACACAAAAAUGCACAUACUGUGAGCUCGAUGAGUAGGGCGGGACACGUGGUAUCCUGUCUGAAUAUGGGGGGACCAUCCUCCAAGGCUAAAUACUCCUGACUGACCGAUAGUGAACCAGUACCGUGAGGGAAAGGCGAAAAGAACCCCGGCGAGGGGAGUGAAAAAGAACCUGAAACCGUGUACGUACAAGCAGUGGGAGCACAGAGCAAUCUGUGUGACUGCGUACCUUUUGUAUAAUGGGUCAGCGACUUAUAUUCUGUAGCAAGGUUAACCGAAUAGGGGAGCCGAAGGGAAACCGAGUCUUAACUGGGCGUUAAGUUGCAGGGUAUAGACCCGAAACCCGGUGAUCUAGCCAUGGGCAGGUUGAAGGUUGGGUAACACUAACUGGAGGACCGAACCGACUAAUGUUGAAAAAUUAGCGGAUGACUUGUGGCUGGGGGUGAAAGGCCAAUCAAACCGGGAGAUAGCUGGUUCUCCCCGAAAGCUAUUUAGGUAGCGCCUCGUGAAUUCAUCUCCGGGGGUAGAGCACUGUUUCGGCAAGGGGGUCAUCCCGACUUACCAACCCGAUGCAAACUGCGAAUACCGGAGAAUGUUAUCACGGGAGACACACGGCGGGUGCUAACGUCCGUCGUGAAGAGGGAAACAACCCAGACCGCCAGCUAAGGUCCCAAAGUCAUGGUUAAGUGGGAAACGAUGUGGGAAGGCCCAGACAGCCAGGAUGUUGGCUUAGAAGCAGCCAUCAUUUAAAGAAAGCGUAAUAGCUCACUGGUCGAGUCGGCCUGCGCGGAAGAUGUAACGGGGCUAAACCAUGCACCGAAGCUGCGGCAGCGACGCUUAUGCGUUGUUGGGUAGGGGAGCGUUCUGUAAGCCUGCGAAGGUGUGCUGUGAGGCAUGCUGGAGGUAUCAGAAGUGCGAAUGCUGACAUAAGUAACGAUAAAGCGGGUGAAAAGCCCGCUCGCCGGAAGACCAAGGGUUCCUGUCCAACGUUAAUCGGGGCAGGGUGAGUCGACCCCUAAGGCGAGGCCGAAAGGCGUAGUCGAUGGGAAACAGGUUAAUAUUCCUGUACUUGGUGUUACUGCGAAGGGGGGACGGAGAAGGCUAUGUUGGCCGGGCGACGGUUGUCCCGGUUUAAGCGUGUAGGCUGGUUUUCCAGGCAAAUCCGGAAAAUCAAGGCUGAGGCGUGAUGACGAGGCACUACGGUGCUGAAGCAACAAAUGCCCUGCUUCCAGGAAAAGCCUCUAAGCAUCAGGUAAGAUCAAAUCGUACCCCAAACCGACACAGGUGGUCAGGUAGAGAAUACCAAGGCGCUUGAGAGAACUCGGGUGAAGGAACUAGGCAAAAUGGUGCCGUAACUUCGGGAGAAGGCACGCUGAUAUGUAGGUGAAGUCCCUCGCGGAUGGAGCUGAAAUCAGUCGAAGAUACCAGCUGGCUGCAACUGUUUAUUAAAAACACAGCACUGUGCAAACACGAAAGUGGACGUAUACGGUGUGACGCCUGCCCGGUGCCGGAAGGUUAAUUGAUGGGGUUAGCGCAAGCGAAGCUCUUGAUCGAAGCCCCGGUAAACGGCGGCCGUAACUAUAACGGUCCUAAGGUAGCGAAAUUCCUUGUCGGGUAAGUUCCGACCUGCACGAAUGGCGUAAUGAUGGCCAGGCUGUCUCCACCCGAGACUCAGUGAAAUUGAACUCGCUGUGAAGAUGCAGUGUACCCGCGGCAAGACGGAAAGACCCCGUGAACCUUUACUAUAGCUUGACACUGAACAUUGAGCCUUGAUGUGUAGGAUAGGUGGGAGGCUUUGAAGUGUGGACGCCAGUCUGCAUGGAGCCGACCUUGAAAUACCACCCUUUAAUGUUUGAUGUUCUAACGUUGACCCGUGAUCCGGGUUGCGGACAGUGUCUGGUGGGUAGUUUGACUGGGGCGGUCUCCUCCUAAAGAGUAACGGAGGAGCACGAAGGUUGGCUAAUCCUGGUCGGACAUCAGGAGGUUAGUGCAAUGGCAUAAGCCAGCUUGACUGCGAGCGUGACGGCGCGAGCAGGUGCGAAAGCAGGUCAUAGUGAUCCGGUGGUUCUGAAUGGAAGGGCCAUCGCUCAACGGAUAAAAGGUACUCCGGGGAUAACAGGCUGAUACCGCCCAAGAGUUCAUAUCGACGGCGGUGUUUGGCACCUCGAUGUCGGCUCAUCACAUCCUGGGGCUGAAGUAGGUCCCAAGGGUAUGGCUGUUCGCCAUUUAAAGUGGUACGCGAGCUGGGUUUAGAACGUCGUGAGACAGUUCGGUCCCUAUCUGCCGUGGGCGCUGGAGAACUGAGGGGGGCUGCUCCUAGUACGAGAGGACCGGAGUGGACGCAUCACUGGUGUUCGGGUUGUCAUGCCAAUGGCACUGCCCGGUAGCUAAAUGCGGAAGAGAUAAGUGCUGAAAGCAUCUAAGCACGAAACUUGCCCCGAGAUGAGUUCUCCCUGACUCCUUGAGAGUCCUGAAGGAACGUUGAAGACGACGACGUUGAUAGGCCGGGUGUGUAAGCGCAGCGAUGCGUUGAGCUAACCGGUACUAAUGAACCGUGAGGCUUAACCUUACAACGCCGAAGGUGUUU
rnacentral:rRNA from 1 species